GCGAGAAACCUUAGCAAUGCGGGAAACCGUGACUGGGCUAUCCCGAGUGCCAGCCGCUAAGGUUGGCUUUUCCCCAGAGUAAAAACCUGGGGGAAUAAGCGGGGGGCAAGACUGGUGUCAGCCGCCGCGGUAAUACCAGCUCCGCGAGUGGUCGGGACGAUUAUUGAGCCUAAAGCGCUCGUAGCCGGUCCGGUAAGUCCUGUGCUAAAUCCAACGGCUCAACCGUUGGGCCGCAUGGGAUACUGCUGGGCUAGGGAGCGGAAGAGGCCAGGGGUACUCCCGGGGUAGGGGCGAAAUCCUAUAAUCCCGGGAGGACGACCAGUGGCGAAGGCGCCUGGCUAGGACGCGUCCGACGGUGAGGGGCGAAAGCUGGGGGAGCGAACCGGAUUAGAUACCCGGGUAGUCCCAGCUGUAAACGAUGCGGAUUGGGUGCCGGUACGGCUUCGGGCCGUAUCGGUGCCUCAGGGAAGCCGUUAAAUCCGCCGCUUGGGGAGUACGGUCGCAAGACUGAAACUUAAAGGAAUUGGCGGGGGAGCACCACAAGGGGUGAAGCCUGCGGCUCAAUCGGAGUCAGCGCCGGGAACUUUACCGGGGGCGACAGCAGUAUGAGGGCCAAGCUGAUGACUUUGCCCGACGCGCUGAGAGGUGGCGCAUGGCCGUCGCCAGCUCGUGCCGUGAGGUGUCUGGUUAAGUCCAGGAACGAGCGAGACCCUCACCCCUAGUUGCCACCGCGCAAGCGGGCACACUAGGGGGGCCGCCACCGCUAAGGUGGAGGAGGGAGGGAGCAACGGCAGGUCAGCAUGCCCCGAAUCCCCCGGGCCGCACGCGGGCUGCAAUGGUGGAGACAAUGGGUUCCGAACCCGAAAGGGGGAGGUAAUCCUUGAAACUCCACCGUAGUUGGGAUCGAGGGGUGCAACCCGCCCUCGUGAACCUGGAAUCCCCAGUAAUCGCGUGUCAUCAUCGCGCGGUGA
rnacentral:rRNA from 1 species